CCGCGAAACUGCAUGUCCUUCUGGAGUGCUGAUGUAUGGUGUUCUCCUCAGAGUUCCAGUCUCAUUCAAGUUCUACCAGAAACUCGUAGGAAAACAGCCCUAAAUUGUCUACAAGGAUUGAAGACAGCAGGAUUACAGCACAUGGAUUUGGAUGAAUUAACAGCUGGAAUAAUUACACUCUUAGAGACCAUGGUUGAGAAAGAGAGGGGAGACAAGUCACAGAAACCUGAUUGUGAAUCAGAGGACCAUCAGUGGGUGGAGACACUGUUUCCUCCUCACUUCUCCCUGUUGACUCUGGUGGGGGAGAACAAUAUCUGUGGGUCCAGGAAAGCUGGAGCCGUCAAGAUAACAGAGCCAUCAUCAUUAGCCUCUUAAGAGGAGACUCUGUAGGCAGGACAUCUACAAGACUAUUCUACAGAUGGUACAACACAAAGAGGCACAGCGAAGAAAAGAGACACCAUUCCAGAAGAUCAUCAAGGAGGACUUGCAGAAAAAGAGAGGGGAGUUGAGAUCUGAUUAUGAGGGCCACAAUAAUUUUUAUUGUACUUUUAUUUAACCAGGUAGACUAGUUGAGGACAAGUUCUCAUUUGCAACUGCGACCUGUCCAAGAUAAAGCAAAGCAGUUCGACACAGAGUUACACAUGGAAUAAACAAACAUACAAUCAAUAAUACAGUGGAAAAAUCUAUAUACAGCAUGUGCAAAUGAGGUAGGAUAAGAGAUGUAAGGCAAUAAAUAGGCCAUGGUGGUGAAGUAAUUACAAUAUAGCAUUUUAACACUGGAAUGGUAGAAUGUGCAGAAUAUGAAUGUGCAAGUAGAGAUACUGGGGUGCAAAGGACAUUGGGAUCCUGCGGAGGGCUAUCCGUGAGGUGGAGGAGGACAGAUGCAGUCUGAGGGCUAAGCUGAGUGAAGCAGUGGCAGAGGCAGGGGAUAGAGAGGAAGUGUCUGCAGGGCAUGCUGGAGGAGCAGCUGAGCCUGGCCAGGCAGGAGGCUGCACGGAGGACCCUACAUGUGGACGCACUGCCGGCAAAGGGACAUAAGUUUACUGUCCAGCUUCAGGCACAAGUAACCCAGGCCAAAGACAUCAUGGAGAAGACGAGGCUUCAUGAGAAACUGAAAAAAGUGUAGAAAGAAGUGCAGGAAGUCAGGAGGGAGAAUGAGACCUUGGCGUUGGAUAUCGAAAGGCUUGGAAAGCACCCGACAAUUGAGGUACAGAGGCAGGAGGUCAUCUCUCGGUUGGCGCAUGAGCUAGCUGUACAGAGUAGACCAAGACUCAGCUGAAGGAGAGCCAUACACAAAGCUAUGCUGCCUUGGGAUUCCUGCGCAGGCACUUCAAUAACCCAUCAGAGGGCACAACACAUACACUGACAGACAAGAAUGCACACUAUUUUUGUCCCGUUUUUAACAAACUCACAAAAACAUACAAACAGCAUUUCUGCAGUAAGGCAGGCCUUCAGUCCAACUAGCCUCUCAAUUACAUAUUGGUGGAAAUACUGUAUGCUGGAUUGUCCUUACUGUAAUAAAAACAAACAAAGAUGUC